rnacentral:rRNA from 1 species
AUGCUAAGACUUUUCAGGUGCGGCAAGUCACUACUGAAGAAAUUAUCUGCAACCAUGCACUGGUAUAUACAGAGCUCCUCAAGAGACGACGGCAAUAAACCUGCUCCAUGUGUCAAAUCUAAAGAAGGGCAGGAAAUCAAUCUAACUUCUGAAAGAGAGGUAGCAGAUCGUAAGCCUCCUAAUGACUUGAAACACCAGCAAUAUCUGAUGAACAAAAAGUCCAGCUUUGUCAAAUGUUGGAAGACCGCUUGUGACGGAAGUGUAGUUAAAGUCAUGAUCUACAUUAAGAACAAACUUCUCAGUGACGUGAGACCACCAAGGCAAACAGCUAAUGCCUCAUCUGUAACACUGCAUGAAGAAAGACGAAGUGCGCGAAGACCUGAUGGUGGAACCAACGGCAAGUUGAUGCUUCUACCAUAA